rnacentral:rRNA from 1 species
UACGUAGGGGGCAAGCGUUGUCCGGAUUUAUUGGGCGUAAAGAGCGUGUAGGCGGCUAUACAGGUCCGUUGUGAAAACUCGAGGCUCAACCUCGAGACGCCGAUGGAAACCGUAUGGCUAGAGUCCGGAAGAGGAGAGCGGAAUUCCUGGUGUAGCGGUGAAAUGCGCAGAUAUCAGGAAGAAUACCCGUGGCGAAGGCGGCUCUCUGGGACGGUACUGACGCUGAGACGCGAAAGCGUGGGGAGCGAACAGG